rnacentral:lncRNA from 1 species
AUGCUGCUGUGGCUGGGUGUAUUGUUUUGUUCCUGUUGCAGAGGUGCGCUGGAGGCCGGGCUGAGUCGGCGGUCAGUGGAGGGAGUGUGCGCACACACACGCAUCUGCAGCAGGUUAAUCAUCAGCGCUGGCUUCAAGACCUGGGUCCACACGCUGCCUGCUGCCAGUGAUUACGUGAUCUUUACGCGCGCCCUCCUGUGCCGUCACCAACUCUGUCCCGGCGUCCAGGUCUCCCGCACCUCUGCUGCUCCUCGCCAGCCCAGCUCCCUGCCGAAGGACCCCAGUCAACGCAGCACCCCCGGCUCGUCUACUAGCCGCUGCCUCGCCUACGCUUCCCCGAAUCUACAGACCCGCUCCGGACCUCCGUGCACCUACAAGCCUGCCCCGGCGCCGCGCUCCUCGGCGCGCCUCUCCCCGGGAUUCAAGCCACCUCGCUCUUUCUGCUCCCUGCCAUUGUUCUGAAUAAACCAAUUACUCUGCACCAGCCCCGGUUGUCUGUCCGCUUCUGGGUCCCCCUCUCGUCUCAGAGUUAACAAACUGCCUUGAAAAUGACUGAACAAUGCCAUCUAUAGGCAGUAUGCCAUGUCUAAGGUGGACCGGAAAAUUCCAAUGAGAAGCUGUGAAUCUGGUGCUAACUUAGCCUGUUGGAGUGUGGUGGAAAUCUCGAAAUGAGUUUCUUUAUGAAUGAGAUACAAAAAUCGUAAAAUAAAUAGCACCUUUGAUUAUUUUUUGUUUUUUUUGUUUUACCCAGAAGUUAUUUGCUACAGCUGCCUUUCCCUGCAACAGCACUGUCUCUGGGCUCCCUGCUCCAUCCAGCCUGUUCACUGUGGUGGUGGGGCAACUUGUUCAUUAUCUACUGCAUCAGCGGUAAGAAGAGUAGGAGAGAAGUCACAGGCAAAAGGUUGAUAAAAGGAGCCCUCCAUCCUCUAAACAUGGAAUAUCAGCCAGUGCGGAUGAACGUGGUCAAACAUCAAUACAGUGUGAAUGUUGUCUUUAUACACACACACACACACACACACACACACACACAGGGCUAUAGUAGGUUGCACUCACCCACAUCCUUUUAUGAUCCCUGUAAUCUCCGUUUCAAUUUCAAUAUUAAAAUGUCUUCCAUUGUUUUAUGUGACUUGGCACAUUACUCCUUAAUCUUCAGUGUCAGUGGGGCGAUGAAUAAACUGAUGCACAGUAAAGGGCAUGAUAUGUGUUAUCAUUUGCAUAUCAUAUGGCCUGCUCAUGUCCUACAUUAAUAUACUAAUUGUACAUAUCAGUUAUGUACAAAAUAAACAGCAAGGGUUAUCAAGUUACCUUCAAUAAUUUUGAAAUAUUAUUUAUUGAAUAUGCUGAAAGUUAUUUGAAAUGUCUAACUAGUAAACUAUGGUCGUAUAUGAAAUGCUAAUUAGAUCAACAGUACCCCCAAUAUAUAUUCACUAGAUUUAUAGCAGAUGAUUUGUAUAGCCUUCUAUUAUCCUAAAUAGUUUUUACAGAAUUUAAUAGAAGGUGAAUCCUUUAUUUCAGAAGCACUGAAGAGCAUUGUCAGUGUGUUUCUGUGAUGCACCACUGGUUCACAAGUUGAGGUAUGAUGCCUCGAUGGAUCAGUUCUGCCCUUUUCUUGUUUUUCCUUCUCUUUACUUGCUUUGAAACGUUGAGAAGGUGUGAUGCUACUGACUGCUAAUAAAGUCACAGACUUUACUGGUUGUAAACACACCAAGUUUUAAUAACAAAUUAUGUCUGUUUAUUUGCAAGUUUAUUUGUAACAUGCACUUUCUCCAUGUCUGCAGCAGCAGCACUCCUGGUCUUCACAAGCACUAUUUCAUUCUGGUGUAAUUGAUUAGACACCACUCCCCUCCUAAAUGUAGUCUCUUGUUCAUCACACUCGGGACAUGAAGAACAGAAAAUGACCACAACUACCAUUUACAGCAGUGUAUCUCCUCUUUAUCAUGUCCACCUUCUACUUACACUCCCUCAGCCUCAAAAUGCCUACUCUCCCAUUCUUUAGCAUAGUACUUCUCUCCAUUCAGCCAUGGCCUUCCAUCUAUCACAGCAGACCAAGGCAAAUGGAGCUUUCAGCUGAGUAGUGAUAAGGAAUCACAGCCACGUUAAAGCAUCUGUCAUGCCUCCAGAUCUGUGCAUAGCGGGCGAUACAGUGACUGGGCAGAAGGCAGAAGAAAACAGGAUGAAGGAUUGAAAAAAGGGAGAGGGUGAGAGGAGCAUGAGAAAGAUGGGGUCCCCUGUCUCCCUGUGGGAACAGAUAGAUCAGUGUGAGAGUGCCCACAUUUCUGCUUCAUCUCAAUUUUAAUGUAUUCAAAUGACCAUUUUUCCUUCACUUACAUUUUUCUCAGUCCCUAUUUUCACCCUGAUAUUCCAGCCCUUAAAUCUCUAAGUCAAAAUUGACACAUUUAAUGUAUUAGCCUAAUUGAAUACCUAAGUAGAAAACCACCCCAAAACAAGGUAAUGUUUUGUGUUAUAGUAUUUUUCAUAAAUUACUGUUGGGUUUACCUGAACUAAAAUAUGUUCACUUUCAUACCAAGACAUAUGUGCAAAUUUCGAGGUAAAAACUAAAAAAAAAAGGAAAGGCCACUUCACCAAUUUAUGUGUGCUUCAGGACGGGGCUUUAUUGAUCAGACAUGCAUCGGGAAUCCAAGACACACAUACAUAUAUGUGCACAAACACAUACACUACUACUUUUCUAACUCAGUGUCUGAUCUUACAUUCCAUAAUGUUUUCACACGCACACGCACGCACGCACACACACACACACACACACACACACACACACACACACACACACACACAAUAUUGUGUGUGUUGGAGUGAUCAAUGCACAGCUACAGCUGGUUGAAAGGGACCAAAUCCAUUGUACAGUUGAUUUGGUUCCAUUUUACCAGCUUUAGCAAAGCAUUUCAGAGGUGAGUCCGGUCCGACAGGUGACAGUGUGGAGAAAGAGGAGGAGGAAGAAGUGAACAGACAGGGACCUGAAAGACAUAGAGUGAGAAGAACAGAAUGAUAAGAAUAUACGUACAUAUAUACAUAUACGAUGAAAUAAACACUCAUUGUACAGACGUGAACAAAACAAAGACAAACAUAUAAGGGAAAUAUCACUGAUUAGGAGGGGCCAUUGCUCUUACAUUUGAUGCACUAUGAUGCACUAUAACUGCGUUUACAGCUUGUUUCUGCUGUCCGCAAAUGUCUUAAAAAGUUAAUGCUGA